ensembl:lncRNA
GCCUGACAUCGCCACGCCUAUUCUCAAUUGCGUUUGGACUUUUCAUCCUGGUGACCUCAGCGCCUCCAAACCUCUGGACGGGUGUGGGGGGACUCAGGAGGGAGGGGUCUGCUGCUAAUUGGGGCCAAACCAAACCCGGUGUGUCAGGGGAGACACCAGACAACGGUCCCCGUGACGACGGAGGACCCAGAAGAAGAAUACUCAGAUUCACGGUGGCUGCUGCAAAAUAAAAGCGGCAGGGCGCUGAGACGCAUGGCGCCGUAAACAGCAGAGAGACGCCAGCGUCUGGGCCGGGCCUUGCCCCCGGCAGCGCUGUGGAUGGAGCGGGCGGCGGCGGCGGCGGCGGCGGCGUUGUCUACCUGCUGCUGUUUGUGUGGAAUAAUGGAGUGUGUGGGAGGGAAGGCCACUCGGGUUGUUCAUGCUGCAAAACUUGGCGCUUUGGAUUUGCAGCAUUCCAGCAAAAAAACAUUACUAUUUAUUUAUUCAUUCAUCGAUGCCUUUUGUUUUAUUAUAUUCCGU